GUAAUUUGUUUAAAGAACCUUGUUCUAAGAGAAUAUUAUCCCAUGGUAACACUGAGCUCACCAAUACAUGCUAUCGAAGCAGCCGUUUAAUUAUAAAGUAUUUAUCACGUCUGUGAACAAAAAACCACACAACUGUCGAGUUCAACAUAUUAGACACAGUUUGUUUGUGUUCAUUGUACGUGACUAUUCAUCGCAACAGCAGUAGCCAUUCACAUUGAUAGCAGCAACUAGAAACACCAACAGCGACAUCUAGGACUACUAGUACUUGGAAUCAAGCGACGUUCACACAGUGCUUUUGUUGUAUUUGAAAGCUUUUUAUCUGAACAAUUGUUCUCAUGUUCAAGGCGCCAACUGAAGUGUUCAAAAUUAUCUGUUUUCGUCUGGCACCUGCUACACUACGACCGCACUUUAUAGUCUACAGAUUUUUCAAUGGCCAGAGAAACACCGUUUUAUAAACAUCAAUACAUCCACGUCAAACAAUCACUGUAUCAUUAAACAAUAAAGACAUCCCAUUCAUUUGCCUUUCACAUUUAUAGAAACCCAAUAAAGUUGUGUUGUUAUCAAAGACA